rnacentral:rRNA from 1 species
AAGCCCCAGUAAACGGCGGCCGUAACUAUAACGGUCCUAAGGUAGCGAAAUUCCUUGUCGGGUAAGUUCCGACCCGCACGAAAGGCGUAAUGAUUUGAGCGCUGUCUCAACAAUGCACCCGGUGAAAUUGAAAUACCAGUGAAGAUGCUGGUUACCUGCGCCAGGACGGAAAGACCCCAUGGAGCUUUACUCCAGCUUGAUACUGGGAUUCGGUAUUGCAUGUACAGGAUAGGUGGGAGGCUUUGAAGCAAGGACGCCAGUCUUUGUGGAGCCAAUGUUGGGAUACCACCCUUGCGAUAUUGGGUUUCUAACCUGCAGCCGUGACCCGGCUGGGGGACAAUGUCAGGUGGGGAGUUUGACUGGGGCGGUCGCCUCCGAAAGGGUAUCGGAGGCGCUCAAAGGUUCCCUCAGAAUGGUUGGAAACCAUUCGAAGAGUGCAAAGGCAGAAGGGAGCUUGACUGCGACACCGACGGGUGGAGCAGGUACGAAAGUAGGACUUAGUGAUCCGGUGGUAUGAAAGUGGGAUUGCCAUCGCUCAACGGAUAAAAGCUACCCUGGGGAUAACAGGCUUAUCACUCCCAAGAGUUCACAUCGACGGAGUGGUUUGGCACCUCGAUGUCGGCUCAUCGCAUCCUGGGGCUGAAGUAGGUCCCAAGGGUUGGGCUGUUCGCCCAUUAAAGCGGUACGCGAGCUGGGUUCAGAACGUCGUGAGACAGUUCGGUCCCUAUCCGGCGCGGGCGUAGGAUAUUUGAGAGGAGCUGUCCUUAGUACGAGAGGACCGGGAUGGACGGACCGCUGGUGUAUCUGUUGGGUACCAAGCCCAUGGCAGAGUAGCCAAGUCUGGACGGGAUAAACGCUGAAGGCAUCUAAGCGUGAAGCCCCCCUCAAGAUGAGAUAUCCCAUAACGUCAAGUUAGUAAGACCCCUUGAAGACGACGAGGUAGAUAGGGCAGAGGUGGAAGUGCGGUAACGCAUGGAGCUGACUGUUACUAAUAGGUCGAGGGCAUAACCAA